rnacentral:lncRNA from 1 species
CUUUCAGUGAAAACAAGUCUUUUGUAAAGUAAUUUAGAGAUAGUAUAUGAAACUCUCAUUAACACAAGAGAAAUGUUGAUCCCUUUGAGUUAUACAGAGAAGAAUAAAUAUCUAAUUAUUUUAGCCUAAUCAUUGUCAUUCCUUUUCAUCUCCCAACACCCUAGUUAUUUCUUAUUGUUUUUUUCUCCCUAUCCCAUCAGCUGUUUUAAAAAGCGAUCCUUUGAGUUCAGCUGAGAUAAAAGAGGCUUAAAGACAAGAAAUAACAGAAGUCCCUGCACUUCGUGGGGAUUACAAGUGGAAUUAACAUGGCUCUAUAAAAUAAGCUACUGUUUGGGGUUUGGAAAUGACAGGAUUAUUUAUUUUCUGAUAUCCUGGGUACUGCUUAGGUUGUUACUAAUCAUCUCAACUACAAGGCCGAGGCUGGCAAACUUCAUUUGCAGAUGGAAAACUAUUGAGUUUUGAGCCUGUAUCACAUUAUUUUUUUCAAAAGCAAGGUUUGAACUUGGAAAAAAAUCUGGUUUUUAGAAACUGUCUAAAACGAAAUAUAAAAAUAUCCAUCUCCCCUCUCCUCCCUGAGGACCACACUCUAGAGGCUCCUGGAAAAUGUUGGAAGCUGGUUACUUCAUCUGAGGAUAUGAUGGUGAAUGCCUAAACAAACAAAAAGCCACCUUGAAAGGGGACAGGAUCAUCCAGAAUCUAGACAUGGGAUGUGUUCAUGGCAUUUAACCUAGCCAGGCAGUUGGUGUGGGCUCCAAAUCAUAACCCCACACCUGCAUGUCCCCUGAUAUCAGCACAAGCCAAUAUGGCUGUAGCUGUGGCCUUGACCCCACACAGCUUGGCCAAAUACCAAAGACUGAUUAAUUCAUCAGAAGACCCAAACCACUAAUGUCAAACAUCAGCCCUGAAUUAAGCCUUCCAUUUCUCAUCUCAUCCUUCCAAAUCAUAGUACACACUAUAAAGUCAGAAUCUUCUGGCACAGAAAACAUCUAAUGGUCUGAUCUCAUCUCCCAGCAGUCCUCAGGUAUACUAUUUAUUCUAGUCUGUCUGAACUAUUGGAUACAGUUUCCCAUAUAACCCCUUCCUCUCAUCAAUGUCCACAUGCCAUUCUGUAUUUUGUGUAUGCCGCUUUCUCAGGGACACCUGCCAAACCAUCCAAUCUGAUUUUAAUUCUCCUCCAUGGUGAUUUUGCCAUACUUUAAUGGAACAUUUAAUAAUAAUCAUUCAUUGAACACAUAGUAGGUCAGGGACAGUGUUAUUGUAUAACCCUAUGGUAUAGAUACUAAUAUAAUCCCUGUUGAUUAGAUGAGGGAACUGAGGCUUAGAAAAGCAAUGCAACCUUCUCAGGUAGUGCUACUGGUAAGCUGUAGAUCAAUGGCUUGAACCAAAGCAAGAACCAGAGUACUUACUUUUAAACAUCAAGCUAUUUGAGGAGGCAAAGGGGC